GAUGAACGCUGGCGGCGUGCUUAACACAUGCAAGUCGAACGGUGAAGGUGGGAGCUUGCUCCUGCUGGAUCAGUGGCGAACGGGUGAGUAACACGUGUGUAACCUGCCCCGGACUCUGUGAUAAGCGUUGGAAACGACGUCUAAUACCGGAUACGAGACGAGAGGGCAUCUUCAUCGACUGGAAAGAUUUUUUGGUCUGGGAUGGACUCGCGGCCUAUCAGGUUGUUGGUGAGGUACUGGCUCACCAAGCCUACGACGGGUAGCCGGCCUGAGAGGGUGAACAGGCCCAAUGGGACUGAGACACGGACCAGAGUCCUACGGGGGGCAGUAGGGGGGAGUAUUGCACAAUGGUCGCAAGCCUGAUGCAGCAACGCUGCGUGAGGGACGACGGCCUUCGGGUUGACAACCUUUUUUAGUAGGGAAGAAGCGAAAGUGACGGUACCUGCAGAAAAAGCACCGGCUAACUACGUGCCAGCCGCCGCGGUAA
rnacentral:rRNA from 1 species